AAGUCGUAACAAGGUUUCCGUAGGUGAACCUGCGGAAGGAUCAUUACAAAACAAAAUCCAAAUCACACCAAAUGUGCUCUAUAAAUGCAGAGAGUCUGCAGAAAUUCAUGUAUUUGUGUGUGUGGUGUGUGUGUGUGUGUGUGAGUGUAUAUGCUGUUUGUUAUGUUUGUGUUUGUGAGAGAGAAAUUAACCUUUUUCUCACACACUCACACACAUAUACAUACACAUACACACACACAUGCAUACACACACACACACACAAGCAUAUACAUAUUUUUCACUACAUGCUGGCUCUCUUGCAUUGUCUUUGUUUAUCAAUUUUUUCAUUAACUCCUUGUUUAACCAACAACGGAUUACAAUGUUAAAACUUGAAACAAAAAAACAAAACAAAAUGACAACUUUUAACGGUGGAUCUCUUGGCUCGU
rnacentral:misc_RNA from 1 species